GAAUGUAAUCAGAGUUAGGGAAUAAGAGUUAAAUUAGAUGUGCAGUGUAUGCUACAUAUAGAGGCAUGACUCCCCUGCAGGGCAUCAAGAAAAACAUGAACCUUGCUUCUUACUAUUUCUGUACUGUAUAUUGCAGUAGUGGUUGGCUGUACAGAUUAAGACAUUUAACUGUCACUUCUCCCAAUCCAGAAUGAUGGUGUGUUUAGGCCAACUAAAUCACCAAACAUUCAUCCAAGAUGGCAGCAUGUAUCCUUGCCAGUUUAUUUUAAGUGUUUGUGCCAUUGCACAUUGAUUUUACUUGGAUUUGACAACUUUUUGAGGCAAGUCUCGGCUCUUAUUGGCUUUUCUAUGUAUUGAAUUUAGUUUUGUGAGAUUUUAUUUUAUUUUAUUUUUAAUGUUUUUGAAUAGUAGUGUUACAGAACGCAGAGUUUUAAGACUGUUUUGUUUAUUCAGUCUCAUUAUUUCUCUUGUGCUACUUUUGAACUUUCUGACAGUGUGACAAUUGAUCAUGGCUCUACGUGAUAGUUUUUAUGUGCUGUGGGAACAUUGGAUAUGUAUUAGGAAGAGAUUGGAUCCAUUAUGUUGUCAUAAUGCUGGAUAGUGUACAGACUGUUGAUUAUGGUUAUAUAUUAUUUCCUUGAAACAUUGUGCCUAAUCCAGGCACUGAAUCUCUUUUACAGUGCAUUACAUUGAUAGGCCUGGAAUUAUGUAUUGAAUGUGUGUUACUUGUUGUUUAUAUAUACAGUCAUGUGAAAAAGUUUGGACACCCUAUUGAUUUUAGUUAAUUUUAUAUUGAUUUUGUUUUGUCAUUUCAUUUAGUAUGAGACCAAUAUUUCCUAACUGAUGUAGCUUGUUUAAAUUUAGGCUGCAGUUUGGAUUAGAGCAGAUUUUGGAAUUUAACUAGUUGCAGAGGUCUUCUUAUUUUCCAAGGUCUUUAAAAUGUUGUAUGAUUCUUCAUUUCAGUUUUCUUAGAAUUAUGGUACGUGAUCAGCAUGUGCUGUCCUAUUUGCUAUCUCACUUUGUAAUCUUUGUUUUUUUAGAACCCUGUCAUGUCAUGUCUACUGUACAACUGACAGCCUUUGUUUCUCUCUCAUGCUUGUUUUACUAUGAAGCUGAGUUGUGUUUGCUAUCACUAGUGUCAUUGUUUGCUAAAGCUUAUAUCAACUCUUCUAUGAUAUACAAAAAAUAGAACUGUGGACGUUAUGCAAAUAUUCAUCCAUGCCUGUAUAACCUAGCCCACUUCAAUUUUUGUCAAAAUGAUUGAAAUAUUGCAGAAAAAGUUAACAAAAAAAUAAAAAAUAAAAAUCUACAA
ensembl:lncRNA